rfam:Ochrobactrum anthropi ATCC 49188 chromosome 2, complete sequence.
GAUAGGUCUAAUGCAUGUCUCCCAAAAGUGGGAACCGGUUUUGGGAUGAAGACAUGCAUGAAAACAAAAGCUUAAAGCGUGUCAUACGAGUACGAUAAAAUGCGACGCGCUUUAAGGAUUGGCGGAAUUGUUGGGGCGAUUCCAGCCAGAGAGGAAUGAGAGCCCCGUGUUUACUGGG